UACGGGGGGAGCAAGCGUUGUUCGGAUUUACUGGGGCGUAAAGGGCGCGUAGGCGGCCACCGCAAGUCGACUGUGAAAUCUCCGGGCUUAACCCGGAAAGUCAGCCGAUACUGCGGGGCUAGAGUGCAGAAGGGGCAACUGGAAUUCUCGGUGUAGCGGUGAAAUGCGUAGAUAUCGAGAGGAACACCUGCGGCGAAGGCGGGUUGCUGGGCUGACACUGACGCUGAGGCGCGAGAGCGUGGGGAGCGAACCGG
rnacentral:rRNA from 1 species